AAAAAGACAAACCCUAGGUUUCCAUGUCCAACUUUAACUGUCCGUCUUAUAUAAAAUUUGUUUAUAAUUCGUAUUUUUAUUUUUGUUAGAUGAUAAAACAUGAUUAAUAUUUUAUGCGUAACUUGUCUUUUUAAUUUUUUUCAUAAUUUUUUCAAAUAAGAUGAACGGUCAAACAUUGGACACGGAAAUCAGGGUUUGUCUUUUU
rnacentral:pre_miRNA from 1 species